UAAAAGCCAAGAUUAGAGAAGCAGUCCUUGAUAAAAUGACAUGCAAUCAACAAAAGCGUCUUCUUAAACAUGAUGUAAACACACUAAUAGCAGAAGUGUUUGUGAGCAGGUCAGACUCUGUUUGUAUUUCGCGGGCAGGUGGGGAUUAUGCAAAUGAGUUACCCAGUGACGUAUACCCGUAACAGGAAAAAGAUUCGAAAAUAUAAAGACUCGUUAAGGCGUUUCAAAACCGACUCUCUCUUUUGAUAUAAACAUAAUUUCUAGUCGUGUCUUCUUUUGGAAGGCAAAAACAAAGUAGUUUUGCUUUCUCAACGAUACAGAGUCACACCGCAGUCUUGAGCAGAGGUGGGCGGCUUGAGAACAGCUCGGCAGGAGGAUUCAACGAAGUAGCUUGCAGCAACCACAUGUGAUGACCCCGGGCUGGAAAGCUGAUCCGGCGAUCCACAGUGCAAAGUUGAUGUAUUUCCUCAGCGACCAGCACGGCUCAGCUCCAGGCAUGACGAAGCAGAUAUCGUCCUCUUUUGGAAGGCCAAACAAAGUAGUUUCGCUUUCACAGUGAAACACACAGCGUCUAUACGACAUGACGGCGACGGCAGCAACAAUACUAGAACGAGAAUAAAAGAAGUGUUGGGCUGGAUGUGGACAUUACAGACGGUCAGAUCGAGUGUCUUCUGUGCUGAACUCUUCCUGAUCGCUGGCAGACUCUGGAUCCGUGUUAUUCAGCAGCUCCACUAAUAAAGCGACGAGCUCUCGGUCCUUACAGUCUUCUGAGGAGGAUCUGCGGUCGGAGCGGUGCAGACUGCGGUGGAUCAUGGCCUGCAGGGAGGUGCGCAGAUCCCACAGUAACUCCCAGACGUGAGGAGAAAACUCCCAUCGGAUGAGUGAGUGACCCGGUAACAUUUUAUUAUAUUUAGACAAUGUCCAACUAGUCUAUUUUAGUCAAUUAAAAUUUAGUCAUAGUCAUGCUGUAUAAUGGUUAAAGUGAUAAUCACAAUUAUUAUGCUCAAAAAUUAUUAUCGUGAUUAUUUGAGAAACUGCAUGAAAAUAACUGCACUUUAAGCAGAAAUCGGCUCGUACACAUGCUGUAUUUGACCUAAUAUGGUUUCCUGAUUUAUUAUACAGGUGCUGGUCAUAUGAUUAGAAUAUCAUCAAAAGGUUGAUUUAUUUCACUAAUUCCAUUCAAAAAGUGAAACUUGUAUAUUAUAUUCAUUCAUUACACACAGACUGAUAUAUUUCAAAUGUUUAUUUCUUUUAAUUUUGAUGAUUAUAACUGACAACUAAGGAAAAUCCCAAAUUCAGUAUCUCAGAAAAUUAGAAUAUUGUGAAAAGGUUCAAUAUUGAAGACACCUGGUGCCACACUCUAAUCAGCUAAUUAACUUAAAACACCUGCAAAGGCCUUUAAAAGGUCUCUCAGUCUACAGUCGUGGCCAAACGUUUUGAGAAUUAUAUAAAUAUUAGUUUUCAAAAAGUUUUCUGCUAAACUGCU
ensembl:lncRNA